GCCUAGAUAGCUCAGUUGGUUAGAGCAGGGUCCUGAUAAUGUCAAGGCUGCAAGUUCGAUCCCCGUAUGGGACA